GGGAUAAUAGUAUAGUGGUCAGUACUUCUCGUUGUGGUGGGAGCUCCAACGUCCGAGAGGACCCAGGUUCGAUUCCUGGUUAUCCCA
rnacentral:tRNA from 1 species